UACGGGGGGAGCAAGCGUUGUUCGGAUUUACUGGGCGUAAAGGGCGCGUAGGCGGCAUGACAAGUCACUUGUGAAAUCUCUGGGCUUAACCCAGAACGGCCAAGUGAAACUGUCGCGCUAGAGUGCGGAAGGGGCAAUCGGAAUUCUUGGUGUAGCGGUGAAAUGCGUAGAUAUCAAGAGGAACACCUGAGGUGAAGACGGGUUGCUGGGCCGACACUGACGCUGAUGCGCGAAAGCCAGGGGAGCAAACGGG
rnacentral:rRNA from 1 species